rnacentral:misc_RNA from 1 species
AAAUUGUUCGAAUCUCUGGUCUAGAGGAGGAUGGUAGGAAUAAUUUUCUUAUUUUUAAACAAAUAUUGCUUCUACGAUUGAUUUGGGAGUGGGAUAGUUUGGAACUACUCAAUAUUUUAGGAUAGCAAUAGCAUGGGAGUUACUUUUAGAUGGUUCAGAGCUUUUGAUGAAGAAAAUGGUGGAUCAUAGGAGGAGUUCUUUCUUUCGGUGUUAAUUGGCUGUGUUUGAUGUGAUGAAGGCAAGGAACUUCACAAGUCAUGUCAACUUAAAAUUAGUCUUAUUGUUACAUUUGCCACCUUUGCUUCACCUGGGUAGGAGAUGGCUGGUGUGAAGAAUUGUAGAUAGCUGAUGUGAAGAAUUGUAGGCCACUCAUUUCAGUGGGAAUACUAAUAAAAUAGUGGCACAGGCUACAGGUGCUAUCUAUGCUGAAGGCUUUAAUUAUAGUGGUGCUUUUACGAAUGUAAAAAUUGAAGAUAUGUAUAAAAUAAUGUCCUAGGUGCUGUCAUGAAUAUUGAUGGCUGUAAUUGGAGAGGUCCUUUGACAAAAAUGAAGAGCUUUUCUUUUGAUAGAGAUGGGUAUGAUUUAAAUAUUGUUGUUGUGGCUGAUGCAUGGGUAUGAUGGCUUUAAUUAUAGAGGUGCUUUUACAAAUGUAAAAAACUUAAAGAUAAAAUAAUGUCCUAGGUGCUGUCAUGAAUAUUGAUGGCUGUAAUUGGAGAGGUCCUUUGACAAAAAUGAAGAGCUUUUCUUUUGAUAGAGAUGGGUAUGAUUUAAAUAUUGUUGUUGUGGCUGAUGCAUGGGUAUGAUGGCUUUAAUUAUAGAGGUGCUUUUACAAAUGUAAAAAACUUAAAG